AAACAGGCUCAGCCCAAACAAUGGCCUGGAACGCCCGGCUUUCGGGCCCCGCCGGAAGCCCGUCCAGCGCCCAACAAAAGCGGCGCGACAAGUCUACGACUGAGCCGAACGCUUCUGGGCGCCGCGCGCCAGGGGGAAACGUUCGCGGCGGAACGUUCAGGAGAAAACGCUCCAGCAACUCCCAGCCGACCCCGCCCCUCCCCGACCUACCAUAGACGCCGUCCUCCAUGGCGGCUAGGAAGGCCCGCGGGGAAUCCGGGGCGGUCCCGCCAGUCGGGCCUGGAUCCGCGUUGGCCCGCGGGCUCGGGUGAGCCCGCUCAAACGCCCCGGGAGCCACCGCCGCCUCCUCAGCGCCAGUCCUCAGCGCUGAAAAGACUCUUCCCUUCGUCGCCCAACCGCCCCUUCAGUAGGGACCGCCCCUCUUUUUGACACUGUCCAAUCCACAGUGGGCGCUUUCGUCCUCCCCGCCCUCGCCACCAAAGGAUCGUUCUCCAGGGCCAACAGUCGUACAAAAAGCCGGUGUAGGUAUGUCCGGCCAGAGGUAGACGGCCCGCGGGGCCAAUCGGAGUGCAGGCAGGGCAGCAGGCCCCGCCUCCGAAACAACAGAAAGCACUUGACAGGCUUGCUCUCCAAUGAGAAGCCCCGGAAAAGUGUCGCGCGGAGGCGGAGCCACGCGGUACAGCCACCUCUGCGCCUGCUCAAAGGCCCUGGACACUUGGAGUCUAGAUGGGGAAACUGACAUGAAGAGGAGUCCAAAGUGACACAGUCAGGCCAGAAAUGUUGCUUCUGAAGUCCUGAGUCCACCUCCUAGCACUGCCAAGCAGUCCACCUGGAGGUGAUGAGAACUUCCAGGCUUUGGUAAUGGACAACUCUGUAUCCCUGGAGCCUUCAUUCCUUUUGGCAUUACAGAACCACAAGAAGUCAUCUAGAAUCAUUGAGAUUCUCAACUCCAUUGGGCAAACUGGAACCAGCAAAAUCUCAGAUAUCUAGAAUUGCCACUGCUUCCUUGACUCUGUGAUCAGUCUACAGCCACAGAAUCCUGAUUCCCUUUGGACAUUCUAGAAUGGCACUUUAAAAAAAAACAACCCACCCAGUG
rnacentral:lncRNA from 1 species